CGGAGGCCCGUGAGCAACAUUCUGCAGCUAGCUCUAGCAGCACACCGGAGUCCUGCCAACCGGAGAGAAACGAACAAAAUUGUCCUCUUUACGUUUCUUUUCCCGUGCUUUAAGAUAACCAGAUGAGGCUACUGUGUUCAUAAAGGAACAAAAGAUUCACCGUGAUGUCGUCGCUUUGGAGAAUGCAGAAAUGGCACUUCACAUUCCUGUCUGUGGAGUCUGCAACACAUCAUGGCAGAAAAGGCGUUUUUGCUGAUUUUCUCUUCCCAUCAGACACUAGACUACAUCGCUUUUUGGACACUGUUAUUGUUAAUGUUUGUAAGUGCAUUUGAUGGAGCUUUGACCUGUUGAGGAAUCAAUCAGGUCUAAUUUCAGUCAUUUCUGUCUAAACUUUUUUUUUUUUUUUGCUAGAACUGUCAAGUCUUGAUUUUGUUAAUUUUGUCUUUUUUCUUGAUACGUGUGACAGCACACAUCAGAGAAUACCGUUUGAUAACUGACAACUUUUCCUUCUAAUUUGACUAAAUGCUUUUGUCAAUUUUCAAUAAAUAUGUAUAAUUAUACACCUUUUA